GACGAACGCUGGCGGCGUGCUUAACACAUGCAAGUCGAACGGAAAGGCCUCUUUCGGGGGGUACUCGAGUGGCGAACGGGUGAGUAACACGUGAGUAACCUGCCCUUGACUUUGGGAUAACUUCAGGAAACUGGGGCUAAUACCGGAUAGGAGCUCCUGCUGCAUGGUGGGGGUUGGAAAGUUUCGGCGGUUGGGGAUGGACUCGCGGCUUAUCAGCUUGUUGGUGGGGUAGUGGCUUACCAAGGCGUUGACGGGUAGCCGGCCUGAGAGGGUGACCGGCCACAUUGGGACUGAGAUACGGCCCAGACUCCUACGGGAGGCAGCAGUGGGGAAUAUUGCACAAUGGGUGGAAGCCUGAUGCAGCGACGCCGUGUGCGGGAUGACGGCCUUCGGGUUGUAAACCGCUUUCGCUCAUGACGAAGCUUUGUGUGACGGUAGUGGGUAAAGAAGCACCGGCUAACUACGUG
rnacentral:rRNA from 1 species